GACGAACGCUGGCGGCGUGCCUAAUACAUGCAAGUCGAGCGAACCCUUCGGGGUUAGCGGCGGACGGGUGAGUAACACGUAGGCAACCUGCCCGAGAGACCGGGAUAACUAGCGGAAACGUUAGCUAAUACCGGAUAGGUGGAAGCGUGGCAUCACGCUUCUUGGAAAGGCGGAGCAAUCUGCCACUCUUGGAUGGGCCUGCGGCGCAUUAGCUAGUAGGAGAGGUAAUGGCUCCCCUAGGCGACGAUGCGUAGCCGACCUGAGAGGGUGAUCGGCCACACUGGGACUGAGACACGGCCCAAACUCCUACGGGAGGCAGCAGUAGGGAAUCUUCCGCAAUGGGCGAAAGCCUGACGGAGCAACGCCGCGUGAGUGAUGAAGGUCUUCGGAUCGUAAAGCUCUGUUGCCGGAGAAGAACGGCUUGGGGAGUAACUGCCCUGAGCAUGACGGUAUCCGAGAAGAAAGCCCCGGCUAACUAC
rnacentral:rRNA from 1 species